CCAAAAUAACACAUAUAAAAUAAGUGUACAUAGUUUAUCAAUUAUCAUCACUGCAUUUUCAAAUGGUAUUUCUUUGAGUACAGGCAGUGAACACUAUAUAAACAGCUAACUGGAAAUGACACUGGACACAAAAAUGUACAAAAUCUCCUGUGAGCAGAGCCACAUCCACAACUCAAGUCGCUAGGUUUACCCCCACUUGGGUAUGUGCUUUAACACAGGGCUCAGGCCGGCCAGCUAGUGUAAUAUAUAUUAUUUAUAUUUAAAAAAAACAA